GCUUAUGGCCAUACCAUCCUGAGCGCACCUGAUCUCUUCCGAUCUCGGAAGCUAAGUAGGGUUGGGCCUGGUUAGUACUUGGAUGGGAGAGUACCUGGGAAUACCAGGUGCUGUAAGCU